UUAUGGUUCCUUUGGUCGCUCGCUCCUGCUCCGUACUCGGAUAACUGUGGUAAUUCUAGAGCUAAUACAUGCCGACGNGGCGCAUGAACCCCCUUCAGCGGGUGAGGGAUGCGUGCAUUUAUCAGAUCAAAACCAACCCGGUCAGCUCCCUCACCUGGCCCCGGCCGGGAGAGGCGGGCGCCAGGCGGCUUUGGUGACUUCUAGAUAACNUCGGGCCCGAUCGCCAGCGCCCCCCGUGGCGGAGCACGACCCAUUCGAAUCGUGCUGCCCUAUCAACUUUCGAUGGUAGUCGCUGUGCACUACCAUGGUGACCACGGGUGACGGGGAAUCAGGGUUCGAUUCCGGAGAGGGACGCCUGAGAAACGGCUACCCACAUCCCAAGGAAGGCACGCAGGCGCGCAAUAUUACCCACUCCCGACCCGGGGAGGUAGUGACGAAAAA
rnacentral:rRNA from 1 species